CCUACGGGAGGCAGCAGUCGAGAAUCAUUCACAAUGGGGGAAACCCUGAUGGUGCGACGCCGCGUGGGGGAAUGAAGGUCUUCGGAUUUUAAACUCCUGUCAUGUGGGAACAAAUUAAAAAGAUAGUACCACAAGAGGAAGAGACGGCUAACUCUGUGCCAGCAGCCGCGGUAAUACAGAGGACUCAAGCGUUGUUCGGAAUCACUGGGGGUAAAGCGUGCGUAGGCUGUUUCGUAAGUCGUGAGUGAAAGGCGCGGGCUCAACCCGCGGACGGCACAUGAUACUGCGAGACUAGAGUAAUGGAGGGGGAACCGGAAUUCUUGGUGUAGCAGUGAAAUGCGUAGAUAUCGAGAGGAACACUCGUGGCGAAGGCGGGUUCCUGGACAUUAACUGACGGUGAGGCACGAAGGCCAGGGGAGCGAAAGGGAUUAGAUACCCUUGUAGUC
rnacentral:rRNA from 1 species